CUACAAUGUAAAACAUUGUUUCAGAGAAACUGCAAUGUUUAUAUUGCAGUGUUAAGACUGCCGCUAGUGGCAGUGUCUCAGACAGCCACUAGAGGAUCUUCCUGCAUUUACAGGGAGUUUAACUCAGUAAGACGACGCUGGACUUCUUUACGCUUUGCAUGAAUACAUCCAGCGUCUUCUGAGUCACUAUGGAGAAUGCCUAAUGUGUGUGCGACAUCUUGGCUCUGGAAUCAGAUAAGUGUUUAAAGGUUAAUUUAAAGAGUCACUGUAGUCAUCAUAACUUUUGCUUAAUGAAGCAGUUUCAGUGUGUAUAGAUCAUGCCCCUGCAAUCUCACUGCUCAAUUCUAUGAUGUUUAGGAGUUAAAGCACUUUGUUUACGCAGCCCUAGUCACACCUAACUGCAUGUGACUUAC